rnacentral:rRNA from 1 species
UAUGUUGCCUCGGCGGGCCCCGCGCCCGCCGACGGCCCCCCUGAACGCUGUCUGAAGUUGCAGUCUGAGACCUAUAACGAAAUUAGUUAAAACUUUCAACAACGGAUCUCUUGGUUCCGGCAUCGAUGAAGAACGCAGCGAAAUGCGAUAACUAAUGUGAAUUGCAGAAUUCAGUGAAUCAUCGAGUCUUUGAACGCACAUUGCGCCCUCUGGUAUUCCGGAGGGCAUGCCUGUCCGAGCGUCAUUGCUGCCCUCAAGCCCGGCUUGUGUGUUGGGCCCCGUCCCCCCCGCCGGGGGGACGGGCCCGAAAGGCAGCGGCGGCACCGCGUCCGGUCCUCGAGCGUAUGGGGCUUCGUCACCCGCUCUAGUAGGCCCGGCCGGCGCCAGCCGACCCCCAACCUUUAAUUAUCUCAGGUUGACCUCGGAUCAGGUAGGGAUACCC